rnacentral:rRNA from 1 species
GGGUUGUGAGGUUAAGCGACUAAGCGUACACGGUGGAUGCCCUGGCAGUCAGAGGCGAUGAAGGACGUGCUAAUCUGCGAAAAGCGUCGGUAAGGUGAUAUGAACCGUUAUAACCGGCGAUGUCCGAAUGGGGAAACCCAGUGCAAUUCGUUGCACUAUCGUUAACUGAAUACAUAGGUUAACGAGGCGAACCGGGGGAACUGAAACAUCUAAGUACCCCGAGGAAAAGAAAUCAACCGAGAUUCCCCCAGUAGCGGCGAGCGAACGGGGAGCAGCCCAGAGUCUGAAUCAGCUUGUGUGUUAGUGGAACGGUCUGGAAAGUCCGACGGUACAGGGUGAUAGUCCCGUACACCAAAAUGCACAGGCUGUGAACUCGAAGAGUAGGGCGGGACACGUGGUAUCCUGUCUGAAUAUGGGGGGGACCAUCCUCCAAGGCUAAAUACUCCUGACUGACCGAUAGUGAACCAGUACCGUGAGGGAAAGGCGAAAAGAACCCCGGCGAGGGGAGUGAAAAAGAACCUGAAACCGUGUACGUACAAGCAGUGGGAGCACCUUCGGGUGUGACUGCGUACCUUUUGUAUAAUGGGUCAGCGACUUAUAUUCUGUAGCAAGGUUAACCGUAUAGGGGAGCCGCAGGGAAACCGAGUCUUAACUGGGCGUUAAGUUGCAGGGUAUAGACCCGAAACCCGGUGAUCUAGCCAUGGGCAGGUUGAAGGUUGGGUAACACUAACUGGAGGACCGAACCGACUAAUGUUGAAAAAUUAGCGGAUGACUUGUGGCUGGGGGUGAAAGGCCAAUCAAACCGGGAGAUAGCUGGUUCUCCCCGAAAGCUAUUUAGGUAGCGCCUCGUGAAUUCAUCUUCGGGGGUAGAGCACUGUUUCGGCUAGGGGGUCAUCCCGACUUACCAACCCGAUGCAAACUACGAAUACCGAAGAAUGUUAUCACGGGAGACACACGGCGGGUGCUAACGUCCGUCGUGAAGAGGGAAACAACCCAGACCGCCAGCUAAGGUCCCAAAGUCAUGGUUAAGUGGGAAACGAUGUGGGAAGGCACAGACAGCCAGGAUGUUGGCUUAGAAGCAGCCAUCAUUUAAAGAAAGCGUAAUAGCUCACUGGUCGAGUCGGCCUGCGCGGAAGAUGUAACGGGGCUAAACCAUGCACCGAAGCUGCGGCAGCGACACUAUGUGUUGUUGGGUAGGGGAGCGUUCUGUAAGCCUGCGAAGGUGUGCUGUGAGGCAUGCUGGAGGUAUCAGAAGUGCGAAUGCUGACAUAAGUAACGAUAAAGCGGGUGAAAAGCCCGCUCGCCGGAAGACCAAGGGUUCCUGUCCAACGUUAAUCGGGGCAGGGUGAGUCGACCCCUAAGGCGAGGCCGAAAGGCGUAGUCGAUGGGAAACAGGUUAAUAUUCCUGUACUUGGUGUUACUGCGAAGGGGGGGACGGAGAAGGCUAUGUUAGCCGGGCGACGGUUGUCCCGGUUUAAGCAUGUAGGCUGGUUGUCCAGGCAAAUCCGGAUAAUCAAGGCUGAGGUGUGAUGACGAGGCACUACGGUGCUGAAGUAACAAAUGCCCUGCUUCCAGGAAAAGCCUCUAAGCAUCAGGUAACAUUAAAUCGUACCCCAAACCGACACAGGUGGUCAGGUAGAGAAUACCAAGGCGCUUGAGAGAACUCGGGUGAAGGAACUAGGCAAAAUGGUGCCGUAACUUCGGGAGAAGGCACGCUGGUGUGUAGGUGAAGUCCCUGCGGAUGGAGCUGAGACCAGUCGAAGAUACCAGCUGGCUGCAACUGUUUAUUAAAAACACAGCACUGUGCAAACACGAAAGUGGACGUAUACGGUGUGACGCCUGCCCGGUGCCGGAAGGUUAAUUGAUGGGGUUAUCCGUAAGGAGAAGCUCUUGAUCGAAGCCCCGGUAAACGGCGGCCGUAACUAUAACGGUCCUAAGGUAGCGAAAUUCCUUGUCGGGUAAGUUCCGACCUGCACGAAUGGCGUAAUGAUGGCCAGGCUGUCUCCACCCGAGACUCAGUGAAAUUGAACUCGCUGUGAAGAUGCAGUGUACCCGCGGCAAGACGGAAAGACCCCGUGAACCUUUACUAUAGCUUGACACUGAACAUUGAGCCUUGAUGUGUAGGAUAGGUGGGAGGCUUUGAAGCGUGGACGCCAGUCUGCGUGGAGCCAACCUUGAAAUACCACCCUUUAAUGUUUGAUGUUCUAACGUUGGCCCCUGACCGGGGUUGCGGACAGUGUCUGGUGGGUAGUUUGACUGGGGCGGUCUCCUCCCAAAGCGUAACGGAGGAGCACGAAGGUUAGCUAAUCCUGGUCGGACAUCAGGAGGUUAGUGCAAUGGCAUAAGCUAGCUUGACUGCGAGCGUGACGGCGCGAGCAGGUGCGAAAGCAGGUCAUAGUGAUCCGGUGGUUCUGAAUGGAAGGGCCAUCGCUCAACGGAUAAAAGGUACUCCGGGGAUAACAGGCUGAUACCGCCCAAGAGUUCAUAUCGACGGCGGUGUUUGGCACCUCGAUGUCGGCUCAUCACAUCCUGGGGCUGAAGUAGGUCCCAAGGGUAUGGCUGUUCGCCAUUUAAAGUGGUACGCGAGCUGGGUUUAGAACGUCGUGAGACAGUUCGGUCCCUAUCUGCCGUGGGCGCUGGAGAAUUGAGGGGGGGCUGCUCCUAGUACGAGAGGACCGGAGUGGACGCAUCACUGGUGUUCGGGUUGUCAUGCCAAUGGCACUGCCCGGUAGCUAAAUGCGGAAGAGAUAAGUGCUGAAAGCAUCUAAGCACGAAACUUGCCCCGAGAUGAGUUCUCCCUGAGACUUUAAGUCUCCUGAAGGAACGUUGAAGACGACGACGUUGAUAGGCCGGGUGUGUAAGCGCAGCGAUGCGUUGAGCUAACCGGUACUAAUGAACCGUGAGGCUUAACCUUACAACGCCGAAG